rnacentral:lncRNA from 1 species
CCCGGGAUUUAACCCAUGUUGAAGGUGAAGAAACUGAGUCUCAGAGUAGUUUUCCAGCGUGUCAUGGCUCCCCCAUGCCAGAGGAAAUCCUCUGGGGCACAGCCUCCCUCUGGUGGGGCCAGGAGCUCCUUCGGGCAGGGACUGUGGUGCGGAGCUGCAGGGGGGUGACCCCGUGACACCAAGCCCUACCCACAGGUACACCCAGAUCCCAGGCAGCUCCCCCAGAGGGUUCCUGCAGACUGCUGCCCUACACACCGGGGUCCAGGAUUCCAGUCAGCCGUGCCUCCUGGCCACCCACCUCAGAGUCACUUACCACUGUGGUGAGCUCUGCUCCAGAGCAACUCCCACGCGCCCUCUCAUUUCCUGUGUCAGGCUGUGUCCUCAGGAACCAUACCCUCUGCAGGCCUGGAAAUGGGACGUGAGUCAGGAAGAGAGGAAAUGGAAGAGAAAGGCGGCUUUCUCCCUCCAGCUUCCUUUGCAGUCUUUUCAGCAUCCUGGGGCCAGAAGGCAGGCCUCCCAGCUCUGGGUACAAACCUUCCACAGGAGUCCUCGGCGUGUGGAUACCUGAGGCUGGAAAGGAUGGGAAUGGCAACCAGCAACCACCUCCUUCCUCACUGUUCUUGAGGUGAGCUGGCUCCUCAGAUCCUCUGGCCCAGGAACACUUCACAGUAGAUUUCAGGCCUCGAUGAAGAAUAAUCUCCACCCCACAUCUGAGCCCAUGUCUGGUCUUCGGGCCCAGAAGGGAACCUGCAGCUGCAGGAUUCCAGGCAGAGAAGAGGAAGAGCUUCCGAACAGGACAGGCUGUAAACUCUCCCCAGUCCUGUUCUGGAGGCACAGAGAGGAGGGCAAGGUCAUUGUCUGCCGAGGUCAUUGGAGAAAGUUCCGCAGCUGGACCUGGAAGAAUGGGCAGGUGUUGGAGGUGAAGAGAAAGGGUUUUUCUGCUAAAGGUACAUGGGAAGAAACGAGCACUGUGGGUGUGUAUGGGAAAGAGUAAAUCUUAGGCUUGCUGAAGCAUAAUGGCAUAAUGGUGAACAGGCUAGAAGAGUAGGUUGGGGACAUGUGGUGUGGAUUUAUUUCAAUGUCUUGCUAAGAUAUUUGGGAUCUAUGUGCUGGGCAGUGGUGAGCCAUCGAUGGCUCUAGGGCCAAGGAGAGACCAAGUAGAAAUAGGCUUCUCACAGAUGAAUCUGGGAACAAGGAGAGAAUGUAGGCACUUUCAUGAUACUCAGCGGCUUCUUUGGCCUCCAAAGGGCAAUUGAUCUCCCACUAUAAAACAUAUAGCUUUGACAUUCAGUGGGUCUCCCAACCAUUUCACCUGUGCCAAGCACAUCCUCUACUAUGUCUGGUCCUCUCCCACUCUGGAAAUUUCCAGACAAUGACUACCUUUCCUGGUUAACCACCCUGCUUCUUUGAGGUGCUUGUGGAACUCAAGUACGUCACUCUGCCAUCAUUGGCUGAGUGGUCAGGCCCUCCGGCAACCAGGAUUACAUGCUUCCUCUUGCCUCCAUCCUACUGAUGUGAACAUCCACAGCCCAUAUCCUCAGCAUUUCAACAUCUCAUCAUUGUUGUCAGCACUCUCCCUCACACCCUCGGCCCUUCCUGGCUACACCCUGACCCAGUCCACACUGGAGGGCACCACUUCUGAACUCACCAAACCAGCUGUUCUCUUUAUCCUAAUCCGGGCAAACUGUGGCCAUGGGCCUACCUAGCAUGCUAUUUUUGUAAAUAAAGUUUUAUUGGCACACAGCCUUGCACAUUUGUGUAUGGGUUGUCUA